GCUGCCCAUCCAGUGCCAGAUCACAGGUCUGAGCAGCCAUCCUCGCUGCGGGUUGCCACAGAUUGAUGCACUCCAUUUCCUGUGUUGUAAGAGCACCUCUUCACUUCAUUAAGGUGACUAAAGGAAAAAGGACACUGGAGCAGAACUGGAUGACAGGGAGAGAAAAAGGCAUGGGAGUGGCAGAAGGGAAGAAAGCAGAACGAAAAGAGAACGGACUCAAGGGCAGAAACUGAAAGUGACUAUGAACACCAGUUCACCUUGAUGUUUAAGGAAGAAAGCCGGUUUGGGGAGGCUGCUGCCGUUUUAAGAAGUGGAGCUGAGAUGCACUCAGUGAUGUAUUUGGUAUAUGCAGUGAGAUUGUCACUGCUCCAAAUCUCUCACUGGAUAUUUUGAAAGAAAAGAUGUAACAAAACCAGCAGGACGCUGUCUUGUUUCUGUCCUUUCUAGUCACCAGUGAGGAGUUCACUGUCUGCUCAGCUUCGUUUCAGCUGUGUUCUCUGCCUUUCCAAGCGUGCAAAGGAGCACACCAGGUCACCGGAGGGGGCUGCUGUGAACCACAGGACAAACACUCUGCAUCAGAGCAUCCCUGUAGAUUCUAAUACUCAAAGCCAGGUGCUUCUUUUUAACUGGUAGGACACUCUA